UACGUAGGGAGCAAGCGUUGUCCGGAAUCAUUGGGCGUAAAGCGCGCGUAGGCGGCCCCGUAAGUCCGCUGUGAAAGUCAAAGGCUCAACCUUUGAAAGCCGGUGGAUACUGUGGGGCUAGAGUACGGAAGAGGCGAGUGGAAUUCCUGGUGUAGCGGUGGAAUGCGCAGAUAUCAGGAGGAACACCAGUGGCGAAGGCAGCUCGCUGGGACGUUACUGACGCUGAGACGCGAAAGCGUGGGGAGCGAACAGG
rnacentral:rRNA from 1 species